rnacentral:lncRNA from 1 species
CAUAAUUAAUAACAUCUAGUAUUUACAUAGUUGGUGUUCAAUUAACUUUACAAAGAGUUAAUUUUAUCUUCAAAACAACUUGGGGGGGUAGAUGCUGUUAAAAGAGGUCAUAAGGAAGAUGAAAUCUUUGCUCCAAGCUUGGUGCUGUAUCCAUUGUGUCACCUAGCUACACCUAGUUUACAGAUGAUGAAACAGAGGUAAACAGGGGUUACAUGAUUUGACCAGAGACCCAGAGCUAGUAAAUGUUGGAGCCCAGAUUUGAACUAGUAAAUUGCCUUUCUGUGUCAUCCUAGCUAUUAGACUUAUGGUGAGGAUAUGAGAUUUAGAGGUAGAAAAAGCUUAGAUACCAGUAAAUCGAAUCAUCUUAUUUUAAUGAAUAUGGACAUUGAGCUACAUAAAGAGUUUAUGUGACCUGCCUAAGAUUUUCCAGCUAGUAUGGAUUAGAGGUCUUUCUGAUUUCAAAUAUAUUGUCUUUCACCAUAUUGCAAAGAAGCUCAGGGAAGAUGUCUUCUAAGUCAGAAGAAAGCCUGGGAUGGAAGUUCCUCUUUUGUUUGUUCUCUCUGCCAUCUGAAAGAUGCUAUUUCUAGGAAGAUGAAGAAACUGAAAGCCAAAUGUUUAAAAUGUUUGAUAGCAGUGCUAUGAGAAAUGCAAGGAUUGAGGAAUAUACGAAACUCUCCAAAAGAAGUGUCUGGGGAUGCUGGUUCCUGGAACUCGGAGGUGAAAAUUUGGCUGGGACUGAAAGGAAGCAAGGGAAAACAGAAGACAGAGAAGAGGAAGGAGAGUAUUCCAGGCAUAGGAAACAGCCAGUGAAAAUACCCAGUGAGUAUUUGGAGUGUGUUGUGGGAGGAAUGACAAGGAGAACAAUGUCACUGGAUUGUACACUAUAUGGUGGUAAAUAAAGUAUAAGAAGUC